rnacentral:snRNA from 1 species
AUCAUUUCUCAGCCUUUUGGAUAAGAUCAAGUGAAG